CCUCACCACGCACACUUUUGGUAGCCCUUCUGCCAUGCAUUAUUUAAAUAAAAUAGUGUGGUCAAUAGUGUUAAACACUGCGUUGGUAUCAACAAGGAUAAGCAAUGAAGAAGUCUUGUUCAGUGCAGUAGACGAGUGGAAGAAGGCGCUUUCAGUGCUAUACUGGGUGAAGAAGCGAGACUGGAAUGGUCAUGAGGUGAUGGAAGAGAAGAGAAAUUAUGCCUAAUUUCAGUAUUGUGGAAGAGGGAAGGAAAGAAGAUUUUCUGAUGCUGAUGAGUGGAAACUGAAAAGAGUUAUUAUAAUGAAGGAGAAGAAAAUACUAAUAAACAAUGAAGAGA